GGUGGGGAUGACGUCAAAUCAUCAUGCCCCUUAUGACCUGGGCUACACACGUGCUACAAUGGAUAGUACAAAGGGUCGCGAAGCCGCGAGGUGGAGCUAAUCCCAUAAAACUAUUCUCAGUUCGGAUUGUAGGCUGCAACUCGCCUACAUGAAGCCGGAAUCGCUAGUAAUCGUGGAUCAGCAUGCCACGGUGAAUACGUUCCCGGGCCUUGUACACACCGCCCGUCACACCACGAGAGUUUGUAACACCCGAAGUCGGUAGGGUAACCUUUAUGGAGCCAGCCGCCGAAGGUGGGACAGAUAAUUGGGGUGAAGUCGUAACAAGGUAGCCGUAUCGGAAGGUGCGGCUGGAUCACCUCCUUU
rnacentral:rRNA from 1 species